UUGGUCUACUAUAUUUGAUUUGUUUAAUUUUAUUAGAGGAAGCUUAAAAAUCUCUUCAAAUUACGUUUCACAUCUGAAAAGAAAACAUCCUGAUUUAUUUCCCGAAUAUGAAGCUCACAAAAAAGCCAAACGGGAAUGCAUGGAAAAAUUUAAUACCAUUCGCAGAACAACUUGCGCUUUCUCGCAAGAAGUGUUCGAGAAUAAUAUUGUUCAUUUUAUAUUAGAGAGUAUAUCACCAUUUAACAUUGUUGAGCUUCCAGCGUUCCGACAAAUGUUUGACAGCUUCAGAAUAAAGCAUGGAGACGAACCUCUGCGCCAUAUAACUCGCAAAAUUGUAAAAAAAAAUUAAUAUGAUUCACAAUGAACAUAUGGAAAUCAUAAAAAACGAACUAAAAAAUGUUAAAUAUGUUUGCACUACAGCGGAUGUGUGGACUGCACCCGAUCGUAGAAUUCUCGGUGUUACAGCUCAUUGGCUUUGUGAGAAAACCUUGAAGAGAAAAUCUGCUGCUCUAGCUUGUA